rnacentral:rRNA from 1 species
AUACGUAGGGAGCGAGCGUUGUCCGGAAUUACUGGGUGUAAAGGGAGCGUAGGCGGGAGUGCAAGUCAGAUGUGAAAUACAUGGGCUCAACCCAUGGGCUGCAUUUGAAACUGCAUUUCUUGAGGGAAGUAGAGGUAAGCGGAAUUCCUGGUGUAGCGGUGAAAUGCGUAGAUAUCAGGAGGAACACCGGUGGCGAAGGCGGCUUACUGGGCUUUUACUGACGCUGAGGCUCGAAAGCGUGGGGAGCAAACAGGAUUAGAUACCCUGGUAGUCCACGCUGUAAACGAUGAUUACUGGGUGUGGGGGGACUGACCCCUUCCGUGCCGCAGUUAACACAAUAAGUAAUCCACCUGGGGAGUACGGCCGCAAGGUUGAAACUCAAAUGAAUUGACGGGG